rnacentral:lncRNA from 1 species
GGCAAGAGAGGUGACCAAAUGCCACCAAUUUCCAGAGAAAUUCAACAAAUACAAAACACAGGAAACACCUCUAAUAACGUACAAAUUUCAUCUCCAAAUUCUCCCAAUCACCAUCGCCACCACCGCUGCAAGCAUCGCCGCCGGGAAAAACAGUUAGAAGUCCAAAGCGAAGGUCUACGUAAUGCACGUAAUACAAUUAUUAUCGUCGCAGUUUUGAUUGCCACCGUUACAUUCGCAGCCGGCAUAAACCCGCCUGG